GAUCAAGGCUGAGCUGAGGGAAGCACACGGUCACUCCGAGCCGGGCCUGAAUUCGCAGCCCCCACCUGUGGGAUCAUCGCCCCCCCCAUUGCGCAGGAUUUCCCAUUGUGAGGAAGGCUGCGAGGAAGAGGAAGAUGCCCCAGGACACUGAUGCAGAGUCACAGAGAGGAGAGGCCCUUCCAAUGCCCCGAUUGUGGGAAGGGAUUCAAGGACAACUC